rnacentral:rRNA from 1 species
GACGAACGCUGGCGGCGUGCUUAACACAUGCAAGUCGAGCGGAGCGGCGAACGGGUGAGUAACGCGUGAGUAACUGCCCCCCUCUCUGGGAUUACAGUUGGAAACGGCUGCUAAUACCGGAUAGUGGGGGAUGACUCGCGGCCUAUCGGCUUGUUGGGGGGGUAGUGGCUUACCAAGGGUACGACUGGUAGCCGGCCUGGGAGGGCGACCGGCCACCUUGGGCGGAGAUACGGACCAACCGCGUACGGGGGGCAGCAGUGGGGAAUAUUGCACAAUGGGGGACACCCUGAUGCAGCAACGCCGCGUGCGGGAUGACGGCCUUCGGGGUGUAAACCGCUUUCAGCCAUGACGCGGUAGUGGCAGAAGAAGCACCGGCUAACUACGUGCCAGCAGCCGCGGUAAUAC